rnacentral:rRNA from 1 species
AUUGAACGCUGGCGGCAGGCCUAACACAUGCAAGUCGAACGAGUGGCGGACGGGUGAGUAAUGUCUGGGAAACUGCCCGAUGGAGGGGGAUCACUACUGGAAACUGUAGCUAAUACCGCCUACCAUCGGAUGUGCCCAGAUGGGAUUAGCUAGUAGGUGGGGUAACGGCGCACCUAGGCGGCGUUCCCUAGCUGGUCUGAGAGGAUGACCAACGAGCCUGGAGCGGUGAAACUGUCCAGAGGCCUACGGGAGGCAGCAGUGGGGAAUAUGUCACAAAGGGCUCAAGCAUGAUGCAGCCAUGCCGCGUGUAUGAAGAAGGCCUUGGGGUAGUAAAGUACUUUCAGCGAGGAGGCGUUACUCGCAGAAGAAGCACCGGCUAACUCCGUGCCAGCAGCCGCGGUAAUAC